rnacentral:rRNA from 1 species
CACGCAGGCGGUCUGUCAAGUCAGUAUGUGAAAUCCCUGGGCUCAACGUCGGAAUUGCAUUGGAAACUGGCAGGCUAGAGUCUUGUAGAGGGCGGUAGAAUUCCACGUGUAGCGGUGAAAUGCGUAGAGAUCUGGAGGAAUACCGGUGGCGAAGGCGGCCCCCUGGACAAAGACUGACGCUCAGGUGCGAAAGCGUGGGGAGCAAACAGGAUUAGAUACCAUGGUAGUUCACGCCGUAAACGAUGUCGAUUUGGAGGUUGUGCCCUUGAGGCGUGGCUUCCGGAGCUAACGCGUUAAAUCGACCGCCUGGGGAGUACGGCCGCAAGGUUAAAACUCAAAUGAAUUGACGGGGGCCCGCACAAGCGGUGGAGCAUGUGGUUUAAUUCGAUGCAACGCGAAGAACCUUACCUGGUCUUGACAUCCACAGAACUUUCCAGAGAUGGAUUGGUGCCUUCGGGAACUGUGAGACAGGUGGUGCAUGGCUGUCGUCAGUUCUUGUUGUGAAAUGUUGGGUUAAGUCCCGCAACGAGCGCAACCCUUAUCCUUUGUUGCCAGCGGUUAGGCCGGGAACUCAAAGGAGACUGCCAGUGAUAAACUGGAGGAAGGUGGGGAUGACGUCAAGUCAUCAUGGCCCUUAUGACCAGGGCUACACACGUGCUACAAUGGCAUAUACAAAGAGAAGCGACCUCGCGAGAGCAAGCGGACCUCAUAAAGUAUGUCGUAGUCCGGAUUGGAGUUUGCAACUCGACUCCAUGAAGUCGGAAUCGCUAGUAAUCGUAGAUCAGAAUGGUACGGUGAAUACGUUCCCGGGCCUUGUACACACCGCCCGUCACACCAUGGGAGUGGGUUGCAAAAGAAGUAGU